rnacentral:lncRNA from 1 species
CGGAGAAGCAGUGGUGGGUUCCAUGUGAUGGUGGAGUAGGAGGCAGGUCUCCGCGAUUUCCUAGUGUAUGUAUAUGAGAGUUUCUUGAUCUCUUUAUCUGUGGAUGAACAGCUACUUUGAAACAUAUGGUACAUUUGUGUUAAGGCUAGUCACCCUGCUGUGGAAUAGAAGGCCAGAAUUGAUCAGUCUCAUCUGAGAGUAA